rnacentral:lncRNA from 1 species
UUAACUUUCAUAGGAUGAUGAUAACUCAGUCAUCCAUUAAAGUGGUCAUAAUUGUCUAUCAGUCUACUGUCACUUUAGUACCAGAGAAAGGCCUAAAGUUAAACGGUUUCUAUUCUGGGGACCAUUUUCAGAUUUGAGUUGAGAAAAUAAUAUAAAAUAGAAGAAUGUCCCAAACUCCUGGGCUAAAGCAAUCUCCCUGCCUCGGCCUCCCCAAAUGCUGGGAUUAUAGGUGUGAGCCACUAUACCAGGCCAAGAUUUUUCAUAUACAUAAAGAUCCAUUAUAUACAAAUAAAUAUAGCUGCAUGCAUGUAUAGUUGUGUGUGUAUGUGUAUAUUUAAUUAGAGAACGCCAGUGGUCUGAUGUGACAAUCCAAUUUUCAAUAGGUUAUGUACUCUUUAUGUGCACUCUCUAAUGCUCAUAGCAAGUAACAAGCUCAUUAAAUUAGAGCUUGUUUUCAUCUAAUUGUAUAAGUAAAAAUAUAAAGGACAUCACAUUUAUUAAGUACUAUGACAUCCUUAAUGUUAUUAUUGAUUUCAUUACUUUUGGGGUAAAAUCAGGUGUUCCUAGGAAGUUGGAAAUGCGGGAAUUAAACUGACUUUUAGAGUUAAACAUUAAACAGUAAAAUCAACCCAUUGAAGAUCAA